AAAAUCCGUCGACUUUAGAAAUCGUGAGGGUUCAAGUCCCUCUAUCC
rnacentral:tRNA from 4 species